CCCUUAGAUGUUCGGGGCCGCACGCGCGCUACACUGAAGGGAUCAGCGUGUCUCACCUCGCCUGAGAAGGCCGGGUAACCCGUUGAAUCUCCUUCGUGAUAGGGAUUGGGGCUUGAAAUUGUUCCCCAUGAACGAGGAAUUCCCAGUAAGCGCGAGUCAUAAGCUCGCGUUGAUUACGUCCCUGCCCUUUGUACACACCGCCCGUCGCUACUACCGAUUGAACGGUUUAGUGAGGGCCUCGGAUUGGUCUCGGCCCGCUCUUUACCGGGCGGCGCCGUUGGUCGAGAAGACGCUCGAACUUGAUCGUUUAGAGGAAGUAAAAGUCGUAACA
rnacentral:rRNA from 1 species